ensembl:snRNA U6 U6 spliceosomal RNA
GUGCUUGUUUCAGCAGCACAUAGACUAAAACUGGAAUGAUACAAAGAUUAGCAUGGCCCCAAUGCAAGGAUGACAAAUUCAUGAAGCAUUCUAUAAUUUU